GGCUGCUCCGAGGGGUGUCCUGUAAUGGGCUGAGAUGGCGUAAGCCGAACCCUUUGAACCUGAUCUGGGUCAUGCCAGCGAAGGGACGGGUUGGCAUCGAUCA
rfam:Triticum urartu cultivar G1812 contig948140, whole genome shotgun sequence.